UAAGACCAAACGGCCGUAGAGAUGGAAUUGCAGCACUAAUCGGGGUUACAGGUGCCUGAUUUUAGUGGGGUUGAACCCAUACUGCAGCGACAAAUCAGAUUCCGGUCAAGGCUUGGGUUCUGGCAAGUACUUAGCGGUUUGAUUCCGGUGAUUGGUAUGUUGCAAAGAGGUUGAAUUAAAGAAAAAAUGAAGACAACGAGAGGCUGCAUCACAUUUGAUCACAUUUGGUUGGAGGAUACUUUCUUGAUUUAAGAUAAAUAAUUGGGUGUGCAUAUUCACACACCUUAAUCUCUUUUUUCACAUCCUUUAAGACGCCUUAUAUAGGCCUACACGGGAGCGUCUAGGUUCUUUAAGACGCCUAGUCUAUGCCUAGAUGAGAGUCUAGGGUUUUUGUCUUCGAUAAGCAUGGUUGUAAAAGUCCCGCCUAGGCUCCGAGUACUCCCUGAGUACUCGUUACAAGGUAGGCUGCCGAGGUACGAGUACUCUUCUCCCAGGCCAAUUACUCCCCGAGUAAUCUCCGCCUAAGCCGAGUACUUCCCGAGUACUCCCGAAUCCGACUAGGGAGCGCCUAGCGACUUUUGCAACCAUGCCGAUAAGACACUGAACCUUGUACAAGGUCAAAUCAAUCACAUCAGACGGGGCGUCUAGGUCUAGACGAGGGAGCAAUAUGAUAGAGGAAGACGCCUCGUCUAGGCCUGGACGGAGCAUCUUGAGGACUGAUUUGACUAUCUUCCAGGCAUUUGACUUAAAGUAAUAUGCUGCGUCUAGGGCUAUACGAGACAUAUAUAUUGGAAAUAAAUAGUGACAUGUAGAGCAUUCUUCAACCAU